GUUUUCCUAAGUAUAUUGAAUAAUUUUCCUUCUUUAAGGUUAGAAGUAAAUUGAUUAUCACAAGAAUCCAGAGAAAAUUAUGAAAUGAGAUAGCCAGUUCUAAAGCCUGGUAACAGUGCAGUGCCUCUGAGCAUUACUGACAAAAGCUUUCUUUCUCUCCACUAGCUGACAGCUUUGUGAUUACAGUGGGACACUAAGGGAGCUGCCACCAAGUGGGAAUGCUGGAUGUCAGAAGCAGAACCUUAAACAACUUUGGCAUGUGGUGGAGAAACAACACAGAUGGGCAUACCAGAGUAACUUGCUCACAACAGCCCUUCAUUCCCUACAGCCUUUCAUUCCCAGCAAAGAGCGUGAGGAGGAACCACUGCUUUGUAGUGCACUUACAGUAACUGGCUGUACCUGCUGGCAUUUCCUGGAAAAGCAGAAAUAAACUUUCAUGAUAUCCUUUAAUAGACACAGAUGUAAGUCGUAGUAAAAAUAUUUUAAUUUUUUUCUUAAAACACUACUAACUUGGGAGGGAUGUUGCAAGUAUUUGAAAUUAUUUUCUACAUGAAGCUGAGACCUGACAAGUACGAGACCUGAUUUCAAGCCAGUGGAAAAAGCAGGAAAAAUUCUGAGAUCUACAACAGAAACAUUUGAUGGAUUCUUUAAAAUGUUCUUUAGAAUUUAAGAAAUUUGGUUUUACAUUAAAUGAUUGGUAAUAGCCUUAGAAUUUUUAAAAAGUUUUAUGUAAUAUUGGCAGUUUCUGCAAUCUCAUUCCUGCUGUGUCUUGAACUACCUUUAACCCCUAUGACAUGUUUUCUGUAAUUCUUAUGUUACAGUUGCAUUUCUGCAGUUUCCUGACUGGUGCAGUGUCUGGGUACUCACAGCAUGUUGACUUCUACAUAGAAGAAAAAUUAACAUAUUUAGAUAUUUGGGUUUUUUUUCCCCAACUCAUCCUCCUCAGUAUAUAGUCUUUAUUUAAGAGGGAUGAAGGCGUAACACCCUUCCACUCCAGUUUUUUCAAAUGUAAUUUCUACAUUUCUUUCCUGAAUAUACUGGUUUUUGAGCUGUUCCUACCCAUAUCUUCUUCCUCCUUCAUAUGACAAAACAAAGCUUGGAUAAAUUAUGCUAGAAACUGUUUUAUUCUUUAUAGUAAGCAAAGAGAAAAAUACCUGUAACACUCUCCUGUUCUGAUUUUAGUUUUAGUGAUCCUUGAGUAUUACCAUUUUACAGUGGUCUGCUGCAGGUAAUAUAGACUAGUUGGUAUGAAAUAAAGCCAAUUUGCAGCAGCAAGUUGCAUAUGGUAGGAUUCAGAUAAAGGUGUGGUUUAACUCUGAUGUCACAUGGAGAAUUGGAUGUCUUUUUAGGCGAAGUAUUUCCAAGGUACAGUUACCUUGCAAUAAUUAAAAAUUGUCCACAAAACCUAAGGUAACCAAUGUCCCUAACUCAUGCUUAAUUAAAAAAAAAAAAUUUGAGAAGUACUUUUUAACAUCCCUUCCAGCUCUGGUGAUUCUUUAUU
rnacentral:lncRNA from 1 species